UGGCGAAAUUUGUGAUUAUAGAAGUAUAAAAUACAAUCAUAAUAGUGUACAAACUUACAAUUCCAAUUAAUUAUAGUCGAAUUUCGACUACUGCGGGACCUCUAGUAAAUAGAAUUUUGAAUAUUGAAACAUUAGAAGAAGGAACAUUAGAAAUAUAAAAGCAUUUUGGAAUAUUGAAAUAUAAAAAAAUAUAAAAAUAGCGGUGAAGCAAUAGCUUUAAAUACUCUUUUUAGAGCAACUCAAUUUGUGCUAUAGUUUUACUAGACUAAACUGUAUUUUGAUGUUAAUAAAAUAAUACAUUAUAUUUAUAUACUUAAGUACUAUACAAUCCGUAUAUGGAUACAAUUGAAACAGCAUUUUUUAUAAAUAAUUAUUGAAACAAACAAAAAGCAAUAAAUAAGGAAGCCGGGUGAUGGUAGACCGCGUUUCCCCGACCGCUCCGGGGAAAAUGCAGCGCGGCGCCAUCAAGGCGGGCUCCCGGCCCGUUGACCGAGGGAACCGGUAGUCGUGUCGCCGCUGUCGCCGGUCCGACGUCUAGGGGACGGCGGGAUGGAUGUAAUAUGCUUUGCAUACACCCUCUCCGCCGUCUCAACAACUCCGACUGGGCUCCGGCCCGGUUUGGGGUAGGGCACCGGCUGUGAGCGGCAGGAGUUUUUUUUUAAGAUUCAACUCCCACAUACGCCACCCGCUGCGCGGAUCCGGCGAUUUUCUCCUGUGGAAAAAACAAAAAAACAUUCGAAGCGAGGGCGGGUCGCUAGUAAGAAAUAAAUAUCAAUCAGAGGCUGUGAAUGAAAACGGGUGCUCGUCCAACCAAAGGUCGUUUCGCCAGAACGUGUAAUUUCCAGAAGCCGUAAAUAAUACUUAUUACAUUAACAUGGAAACUUAAUGUGUCUUAUGAUUGUUUGGUUUUGGAUGAAUUAUUUUAGACCUAUCUAUGUACGAUAUCAGGUUUAGAAAUAAGUACCUUCAUAUUUAACAAAAAAACACACAAAUUUACUUUUAAAUAAAUAUCUUUGUCUCUCC